GUUGCCAGCCCGGGUGCUGUAGGAGAUGGAGCACCUCCAGGCUGCCUGCUGUCCCGUGGCUGUAGCUGCCCUGACAGUGUCACCUCUAUCAGCUGAAACAAAAGCUUCACUGAAGGUAAAGCAGGAACCUGUUCCAUGGAAUUCCUUCCCAGCCUGUGUGCUACUUUUGGAUCUUGACUUCUACCUCAGUUUUCAGCUUCAAAUAUCCAGGCUCGAGGCCAUGACUUGCCUGGGGAGCCCGUGCCAGUGCCCAGCCACCAGUGAAGAACCUUUUCCUAACACCCGGUCUGAACCUCCCGGACACAUCUCCAUGCCAUUAAUGAGGAAUGGCCCUUUACAGAUGGCCUUUUACUGAUUGUCCAGCAACCUGAAAGCACAAGAAUGAAGCAAAUACUGCAUCCUGAAGUCACUGGCCAUCAGAGACUUAAGAUCCCUUUCCCUUCUCAAAAUGUUUUAUAAAGUAGCUAGGUAUGCGUGAACUAUCUACACCCGAAACUACACAGGGUAAUGCAGAAGAAAUCUUUGUCAGCAGUCAGCUAUGCACAAUUGACACGCUGACAGACCCAAGCCUGGAAUAAAUAGAUUUUGAUCCAAGAGCCA
rnacentral:lncRNA from 1 species